UACGUAGGGUGCGAGCGUUAAUCGGAAUUACUGGGCGUAAAGCGUGCGCAGGCGGUUUUGUAAGACAGAGGUGAGAUCCCCGGGCUCAACCUGGGAACUGCCUUUGUGACUGCAAGGCUUGAGUGCGGCAGAGGGGGAUGGAAUUCCGCGUGUAGCAGUGAAAUGCGUAGAUAUGCGGAGGAACCCCGAUGGCGAAGGCAAUCCCCUGGGCCUGCACUGACGCUCAUGCACGAAAGCGUGGGGAGCAAACAGG
rnacentral:rRNA from 1 species